rnacentral:rRNA from 1 species
UGGCGCAAGGGUGAGUAAGGCGACGGUAACCAACCCCGUGAUUGGGCAUAGCCGCGGGAAACUGCGGGUAAUUCCCAGCGACGUCCGAGGGGGGCAUCCCCUGCGGACCAAAGCUCCGGCGUCGCGGGACGGGCUGUCGUGGUAUUAGCUGGUUGGCGGGGUAACGGCCCACCAAGGCUCUGAUGCCUACCGGGCGUGCGAGCGUGGCCCGGCACACUGGGACUGAGACACUGCCCAG